GAGAUUCCCCCAGUAGCGGCGAGCGAACGGGGAGCAGCCCAGAGCCUGAAUCAGUGUGUGUGUUAGUGGAAGCGUCUGGAAAGGCGCGCGAUACAGGGUGACAGCCCCGUACACAAAAAUGCACAUGCUGUGAGCUCGAUGAGUAGGGCGGGACACGUGGUAUCCUGUCUGAAUAUGGGGGGACCAUCCUCCAAGGCUAAAUACUCCUGACUGACCGAUAGUGAACCAGUACCGUGAGGGAAAGGCGAAAAGAACCCCGGCGAGGGGAGUGAAAAAGAACCUGAAACCGUGUACGUACAAGCAGUGGGAGCACGCUUAGGCGUGUGACUGCGUACCUUUUGUAUAAUGGGUCAGCGACUUAUAUUCUGUAGCAAGGUUAACCGAAUAGGGGAGCCGAAGGGAAACCGAGUCUUAACUGGGCGUUAAGUUGCAGGGUAUAGACCCGAAACCCGGUGAUCUAGCCAUGGGCAGGUUGAAGGUUGGGUAACACUAACUGGAGGACCGAACCGACUAAUGUUGAAAAAUUAGCGGAUGACUUGUGGCUGGGGGUGAAAGGCCAAUCAAACCGGGAGAUAGCUGGUUCUCCCCGAAAGCUAUUUAGGUAGCGCCUCGUGAAUUCAUCUCCGGGGGUAGAGCACUGUUUCGGCAAGGGGGUCAUCCCGACUUACCAACCCGAUGCAAACUGCGAAUACCGGAGAAUGUUAUCACGGGAGACACACGGCGGGUGCUAACGUCCGUCGUGAAGAGGGAAACAACCCAGACCGCCAGCUAAGGUCCCAAAGUCAUGGUUAAGUGGGAAACGAUGUGGGAAGGCCCAGACAGCCAGGAUGUUGGCUUAGAAGCAGCCAUCAUUUAAAGAAAGCGUAAUAGCUCACUGGUCGAGUCGGCCUGCGCGGAAGAUGUAACGGGGCUAAACCAUGCACCGAAGCUGCGGCAGCGACACUAUGUGUUGUUGGGUAGGGGAGCGUUCUGUAAGCCUGUGAAGGUGUGCUGUGAGGCAUGCUGGAGGUAUCAGAAGUGCGAAUGCUGACAUAAGUAACGAUAAAGCGGGUGAAAAGCCCGCUCGCCGGAAGACCAAGGGUUCCUGUCCAACGUUAAUCGGGGCAGGGUGAGUCGACCCCUAAGGCGAGGCCGAAAGGCGUAGUCGAUGGGAAACAGGUUAAUAUUCCUGUACUUGGUGUUACUGCGAAGGGGGGACGGAGAAGGCUAUGUUGGCCGGGCGACGGUUGUCCCGGUUUAAGCGUGUAGGCUGGUUUUCCAGGCAAAUCCGGAAAAUCAAGGCUGAGGCGUGAUGACGAGGCACUACGGUGCUGAAGCAACAAAUGCCCUGCUUCCAGGAAAAGCCUCUAAGCAUCAGGUAACAUCAAAUCGUACCCCAAACCGAC
rnacentral:rRNA from 1 species